rnacentral:misc_RNA from 1 species
GUGGGUGUGUGGGGCUUGCAGUGAAUUAGGUAACUAUGGGGUGAACCAGUGAAUUUAGAAGAGAAGCUGAACUCUUUCAUGCAAAAAUCUGAGUCUCAAUUCAACAACUUGGCUUAGCUACUAUCAUAGCUGGUUCUAACUUUCAAAAAGGGAGUGAACUAGAACCAAAAUUUUGGCUAGUAAGCUAAUGAGCAGACGGAAGGGCAUGUGGUACCUAGGUAUAACAGGCUCGACUUUCCUUAAUUUGAUGGUUCCCAUGAUUCGCUCGGGUGGCUUAACUGUUGUGAACAGUUCUUCCAUAAUCAACGUAGUAAAGAGGGCGAAUAAAAUCAAUCUAGCUACUUUGCACAUGAUGGGUGAGGCUCAACUAUGGUAUUACAGACCUGAACAAAAAGAGAUAGGGUUGCAAUGGCAAGCGUUUAAAGAUUAUUGCAACCUGCGAUUUGGGCCCCAUGUGAGCAACAAUCCUUUGAGAGAAUCGGUGAACUUGAAGCAAACAGAGUCGGUGGAAGGAUAACAGCAAUUUCAGUCAACAAGGGUAACUUUUGUUCGCACUGAUCAAUAAAUUGACCUUUUCACUGCUGGGCUAUCUGAUAAUAUUCGGUUGGAAGUAGAGUUGUAGAAUCCUCCGAAUUUAAUUAUUGCCUUGAAUUUUGCCUGUGCUUUUGAGAAGCAAUUGCUCUCAGUUCAAUUAGAUACUAAAAGAACUUUUAUUGGAUGAUUUGAAAUAUUAAACCAUAUGUUGGGGGAGCUUAACGAGAUUCGAAGGGAGUGGAAGCUAGUGUUGUAGUGACUUCGACUAUGGGUAGUGCUUUAACUCCAUUCGUUAAACAGCUUAGCAAGGUGGAGAUGACUGAAUGUCACGCUGAGGGAUUGUUACAACUAUGAUGAGCGUAUACACUCAACCACUGUUGCACGAAAUUAUUUUGGCUUGAGUUAUUGAACCCUGGACCACUUGGAGUUGGCGGGAAUCAUUGAUUGAAUUUCGUUUGCUUAUCCACAUUUCAAGCUUGUGAACACAGUGGGAGGGGACACGAGAUU